ACAAUGGCAGGUACAGCGGGAUGCCAUGGGGCGACCCAGAGCGGAACCCGAAAACCUGUCUCAGUUCGGAUUGGAGUCUGCAACCCGACUCCAUGAAGCUGGAUUCGCUAGUAAUCGCGCAUCAGCCACGGCGCGGUGAAUACGUUCCCGGGCCUUGUACACACCGCCCGUCAAGCCAUGGGAGCCGGGGGUGCCUGAAGGCCGUGACCGCGAGGAGCGGCCUAGGGUAAAACUGGUGACUGGGGCUAAGUCGUAACAAGGUAAC
rnacentral:rRNA from 1 species